CGACGUGGGUAACCUGCCCUUUUGUGGGGAACAACUUCGAGAAAUCGGAGCUAAUACCGCAUAAUAAUAGAGGAUCGCAUGAUUCUUUAAGGAAAGAUGGCCUCUGAAGAUGCUAUCGCAAAAGGAUGGACCCGCGUCUGAUUAGCUAGUUGGAAGGGUAACGGCCUACCAAGGCAACGAUCAGUAGCCGGCCUGAGAGGGUGAACGGCCACAUUGGGACUGAGACACGGCCCAAACUCCUACGGGAGGCAGCAG
rnacentral:rRNA from 1 species